UCAGGACGAACGCUGGCGGCGUGCUUAACACAUGCAAGUCGAACGGUGAUCUUGAGAGCUUGCUCUUGGGUGAUCAGUGGCGAACGGGUGAGUAACACGUGAGUAACCUGCCCCAGACUCUGGAAUAACCUCGGGAAACCGUGGCUAAUACCGGAUACGAAACGGAGCUGCAUGGCUGCCGUUUGGAAAGUUUUUCGGUUUGGGAUGGACUCGCGGCCUAUCAGCUUGUUGGUGAGGUAAUGGCUCACCAAGGCGACGACGGGUAGCCGGCCUGAGAGGGCGAUCGGCCACACUGGGACUGAGACACGGCCCAGACUCCUACGGGAGGCAGCAGUGGGGAAUAUUGCACAAUGGGCGAAAGCCUGAUGCAGCGACGCCGCGUGAGGGAUGACGGCCUUCGGGUUGUAAACCUCUUUCAGCAGGGAAGAAGCGAAAGUGA
rnacentral:rRNA from 1 species